CCCCUAGAUGUUCUGGGCCGCACGCGCGCUACACUGAUGCAUUCAACGAGUCUAAAACCUGGUCUGAUAGGGCUGGGUAAUCUUUUGAAUGUGCAUCGUGAUUGGGAUAGAUGAUUGCAAUUCUUCAUCUUCAACGAGGAAUGCCUAGUAAACGCAAGUCAUCAGCUUGCAUUGAUUACGUCCCUGCCCUUUGUACACACCGCCCGUCGCUCCUACCGAUUGAAUGUUCCGAUGAAUACCAUGGACUGAGAGUAUGAAUGGGUUCGCCUAUUUCUGCUUCUCGGGAAGUGGAGUAAAUCUUAACAUUUAGAGGAAGGAGAAGUCGUAACA
rnacentral:rRNA from 1 species